rnacentral:rRNA from 1 species
AUUGAACGCUGGCGGCAGGCUUAACACAUGCAAGUCGAACGAGAGGCGGACGGGUGAGUAAUGCAUGGGAAUCUGGCUGAUGGAGGGGGAUAACUACGGGAAACUGUAGCUAAUACCGCGUACCAUAGGAUGAGCCCAAGUGGGAUUAGGUAGUUGGUGGGGUAAAGGCUCACCAAGCCGACGAUCUCUAGCUGGUCUGAGAGGAUGACCAGCCACACUGGAACGGAGACAAGGCCCAGACUCCUACGGGAGGCAGCAGUGGGGAAUAUUGCGCAAUGGGCGCAACCCUGAUGCAGCCAUGCCGCGUGUAUGAAGAAGGCCUGCGGGUUGUAAAGCUCUUUCGGUAGUGAGGCGUUAACCACAGAAGAAGCACCGGCUAACUCCGUGCCAGCAGCCGCGGUAAUAC